rnacentral:rRNA from 1 species
UACGUAGGUGGCAAGCGUUGUCCGGAAUUACUGGGUGUAAAGGGUGCGUAGGCGGUCUUUCAAGCCAGAAGUGAAAGGCUACGGCUCAACCGUAGUAAGCUUUUGGAACUGUAAGACUUGAGUGCAGGAGAGGAGAGUGGAAUUCCUAGUGUAGCGGUGAAAUGCGUAGAUAUUAGGAGGAACACCAGUAGCGAAGGCGGCUCUCUGGACUGUAACUGACGCUGAGGCACGAAAGCGUGGGGAGCAAACAGGAUUAGAUACCCUCGUAGUCCCU